rnacentral:rRNA from 1 species
CGUAGGGUCCGAGCGUUGUCCGGAAUUAUUGGGCGUAAAGGGCUCGUAGGCGGUUUGUCGCGUCGGGAGUGAAAACUCAGGGCUCAACCCUGAGCGUGCUUCCGAUACGGGCAGACUAGAGGUAUGCAGGGGAGAACGGAAUUCCUGGUGUAGCGGUGGAAUGCGCAGAUAUCAGGAGGAACACCGGUGGCGAAGGCGGUUCUCUGGGCAUUACCUGACGCUGAGGAGCGAAAGCAUGGGGAGCGAACAGGAUUAGAUACCCUGGUAGUCCAUGCCGUAAACGUUGGGCGCUAGGUGUGGGGUCCUUCCACGGAUUCCGUGCCGCAGCUAACGCAUUAAGCGCCCCGCCUGGGGAGUACGGCCGCAAGGCUA